UCGUAACAAGGUUUCCGUAGGUGAACCUGCGGAAGGAUCAUUACUGAUUUGCUUAAUUGCACCACAUGUGUUUUUCUUUGAAACAAACUUGCUUUGGCGGUGGGCCCAGCCUGCCGCCAGAGGUCUAAACUUACAACCAAUUUUUUAUCAACUUGUCACACCAGAUUAUUACUAAUAGUCAAAACUUUCAACAACGGAUCUCUUGGUUCUCGCAUCGAUGAAGAACGCAGCGAAAUGCGAUACGUAAUAUGAAUUGCAGAUAUUCGUGAAUCAUCGAAUCUUUGAACGCACAUUGCGCCCUCUGGUAUUCCGGAGGGCAUGCCUGUUUGAGCGUCGUUUCUCCCUCAAACCGCUGGGUUUGGUGUUGAGCAAUACGACUUGGGUUUGCUUGAAAGACGGUAGUGGUAAGGCGGGAUCGCUUUGACAAUGGCUUAGGUCUAACCAAAAACAUUGCUUGCGGCGGUAACGUCCACCACGUAUAUCUUCAAACUUUGACCUCAAAUCAGGUAGGACUACCCGCUGAACUUAAGCAUAUC
rnacentral:misc_RNA from 1 species